rnacentral:tRNA from 1 species
UCCUGGCUGGCUCAGUCAGUAGAGCACACGAUUCUUGAUCUCAGGGUCAUGGGUUCAAGCCCCAUGUUGGGUG